GAAGAUAUUUAAAGAUAAUGAAAGUAAUACAAACAUUUACAAUGAGAAAUCAAGGAGACCCAAAGAAUUGAUUGAAAAAUAAGAUAAUUCAAAUCAAGAUGAAGAAAAAUGUGGAUAAGCGUUAAAUCAUUUGGAUUAGUGAUUAAAACAACCUGAGAUAUAAUUUUAACUAAUCUGGAUUAGGAUUAAGAAGAAAUAAUCAUCUGAUAAUGAUCAGUGUAUGUCAUUUGUUUGAACCGAUCACACGAAUGGAAAAUGUUUCAUUAAGAGUACGAUGUUUAUAAAUUGCUACAAUUAAGCUCAAUUAUCCAAUAUGGAAACAUUGAAUUCUCAUGAAAACAAAUUUCAUUUGAUUUCAGCAAACAUGUAAAAAAAGAAUGAAAAAAAUGACAUGAAAUCUUCCUUCAAGGUUAAUCAUCUCAAUUAAUCUUAUGGUUAUCUCUUGAUCGGACAAAUUGUUACCAAUCUAAUUCAUCGUUGACACUGGUAAAGGACAAAUCAACAAGUUACAGAGUUUUGGCUGCACAAAAGUUCUGGACAAUCGGACGAUUGGGUGGACAAUGGACAAUGGUCAAUGAGAAAAUGGAAUGGAUCAAUAUCAAGAAUGAAAUUGGAAAUUGGAAAUAUUGGAAAAUGGAAAUGAAAGAAUUGAGCUAAUUACCUUUCCAUUGAAAUCUAAUUGUUGCAUUUCUUGGUCUGAAUUACCGAUUCCGAUGAAGGCACAAAUUUGUGUUGAUGAUUCUGAUUGUCCAGCUUGUAUCAUUUGCUGUUGUCUAUGUGACCAACCUUGACCAUAGAGAUAAAUACAUGGAGGUGGACAAAAGAAUCGCUUCUCGUUUCCAUAAGAUUUUUGGGCGACCUUUGCAUAAAUUGUUCCAGUCGUUGAUGAUGCAGUUACUGAAACUAAUGGAGAUGUUGUCUUUCCUUUGUUAACCUGUGAAGGCAUCGGUGUUAUUAUUGUCCCUGUCGUACUUGAUCUCGUUAAAUUGGUCCCAUCAUCGUCGCUAUUACCCCCACCACCUCCAUUACCAUCAACACCAUCAUUCGGUAAACCAGAUUUCGAUAAAGGACUUGGUGAACCGUGAACCUGAUUAGUUUUCUAUAAACUUUGAUGAUUUAGGAUGAUAAUGUUGAUCAAUAACAAAAGUCUGUAAAGGAAAAGACAACAGAGAACAAAAAAAAAAUCGAAAAACAAUUGAUAUUAUUUUCCGUUCAAUUAGUACAUGGAAUAUGAUCAUGUUUCCAUCAAAGAAGCAAUAACAGACAAAAAAAUCAACAGAAUCAAUGUUUACUGAUACAAACUUGUUGAUAACAUGAGCUUACGCACAUGAUGGUGUUUGGAAUAAGAAGAAAAAAAGUUCUGAUGAAUUCAUUAAACCAUGUAACUUUUUCAUGAUGGAAUAUAAAAAAACAAGGAAGAAAUUAAUCAAACAACAAAUUGAUUAGAAUCUCACCAAGUCCAUCUUUAAUCAACCUCGAAAAUAAUAAUUAAUGAUCAUAACAAUAAUUGAAUGACACAAAUGGAUAACUGAUUAUUCAAGUGAUCAUUAAAUCAUUCAUUCAAUAUACAAGAGUAAUACACACUCAAGACUAAUAAUCACAAUUAAACUACUGGAAACAAUUGUUACUUGACGAUGGUUAAUUUGCUAAAAAAAAGGUGAUCUUAAUCAUGGUAAUCAACAUAAUCAUUACAAUACCAUCAUCAUAACCCUUUAUUAUUAUAAAGUUUAUUAAACUUUAUCAUCUUGAUUGUUGUUAUUAGAUUAUACAUUUAAAUUACAGAUGACAAUUUACAAUUGAGAUUACAUUGUUCUGGUGUUCCAGGAACAACAAUUCCAGCAAUUAGUUUACACCUAAGGUAAUACCCAUUACAUUAUGAAGAUAAUCUUCCUCAUCAUCAUCAUCAUCUUCUUCUUCUUCUUCUUCAUCCCUCUGAACAACAUGGUGACUUUUGGUGAGAACUUAUUAUUACUAUGAUUUUCCAAGUUUCAACGUGUCAAAUUUACUCCUCAAUUCUGAACCUGUUCCUGUUGUUGUUGUUGUUGUUGGCAUAAAGUCCUAAACGAUAUUUCAAUGAAUUGAACUCAGAGUAUUUCGGUUUACUACUUGAUGAUUGUUAUUCUGUGUUUUUCUUGUAUGUGAGGGUUAAUGUGCUCAGAAAGAUAUAAACUAAACUCAAGUUUUGACUUACAGGUAGGUUACACCUUAGCCCGGUCGCCGACGACUUUACACCGUGGGAACUCACAAUUAUGUUGAUGUUAUAUGUAUGAUGUAGGUGCAAAUAACCAUGAACACAUGAUGAUGAUGAUGAGUAUACAUUGGAUUAUAAGUACAAUAACAUUAACAAAAUUGUGAUCAAAAUGAAUUGCAAGAAAAUAUAUUUACAUUUAUAUAUACGUUAGAACUUUUUUUAGAACAUUAAGACGAAAGAGAAAGGGAAGCAAAUUCGAUUCGAAAGUUAUGAUUAACCUUUCCUAAUGUAAUAAUUGUAAUAGUAUUUGAAGACAAUUUAAAUGAGCCUGAUGAUAAUGAUGAUGAUAAUAAAAUUACUCUGAUAAUCAGUUGAUGAUUUAAAAUGCUCAAUAAUAACAAUAAUAAUGAUCUGAUUACAAUUAUCAUUUCAUGAACAUCGAAUCUGUAAAAAGAAAUGAAAAUUGUUUCAGAACUUUUUUUUCCCCUCAACUUUCACC